GCAACGAGCGCAGCCCUUGCCUUUAGUUUGCCAUCAUUCAGUUUGGGCGACUCUAGAGGGACUGCCGGUGUCAAACCGGAGGAAGUGGGGAUGACGUCAAGUCCUCAUGGCCUUUAUGCCCAGGGCUACACACGUGCUACAAUGGGCGGUACAAAGAGCAGCGAGCUCGCGAGAGUAAGCAAAUCUCAAAAAGCCGUCCUCAGUUCGGAUUGGAGUCUGCAACUCGACUCCAUGAAGUUGGAAUCGCUAGUAAUCGCGGAUCAGCAUGCCGCGGUGAAUACGUUCCCGGGCCUU
rnacentral:rRNA from 1 species